CUAACAAAAAAUCAUAGAACCUCAUUGGCUAAUGUCAAAGCACAUUUAUUGCUCCAUUCUCUGGGUCAGCUGUGAGUUGGCGAGGCAGCUCACCUGGCCUUGGCUGGACUUGUUCACAUGUCUGGGAGAUUCCGCGGUUAUUGGCCGAUGUCGGCUGACCUUGACCGGGGUGACCAAAGCAAAGUGGCUCUGCUCCAGGUAUCUCUCAUCCUCUAGGAGGCCAGGCCGGGCGCGUUCUCACAGCAACAGCCCUGAGAGACUCAGAAGGCAGCCCUGGGGCACAGCCUGAUCCACAGCGCAUAGCUUCACAUCUGCUGACGUCCCGCCCCCAAAAGCAAGUCACAUGGGGGAGCCGCAUGCCUUCUGUCGAGGGCUGAGACAGCUGCCCAUCCCCAGAGGGAGGGCACGCAGAGUGACAUGGCAAAGCAUGCUGACGUGGACAGCGGAUGAGGAGCUGGAUCCAGCGAUGCCUCCACCUCAGAGACGGUGCUUCAGUCUUUCACGGCUCUCAAGACCCUGCAAGGUAGCGACCAUUUGAAACAGCUUUAUUGCGUUGCAGUUGGCGUGCAAUGAACUGUGCAUAUGUAAUGUGUCCAUUGUGAUGAGUCUGACGCACGUAUUUACCCGUGAAAUCCCCGCCACAGUCAAGAAAUUAACAGCUCCGUCUGAGUCCGUUCUGGCUGCUCUCACGAGAACACCACAGGCUGGGGGCUUAAAGAACAAACAUUUAUUCCUCACAUUUCUGGAGGCUGGAAUGUCCCCGAUCAAGGAGCGGGCAGACUGCUGUCUGGUGAGAGCCCGCGUCCAGGUUCCUGGAUGGGCAUCUUCUCACGGCUGCGUCCUCACGUGGCGGAAGGGGCAAGGGAGCUCUCUGAUGUCUGUUUUAAAAGGGCACUAAUCUCAUUCAUAGGGCUCCACCCUCAUGACCUAAUCACCUCCCAAGGCCCCCCUCCUAACGCCAUCACACUAGGGGUGGGAUUUCAACACAUGAGUUCUCCUGGCGACUCAAACAAUAGCCGUCGCCUUCAAACGUGUCCUCCGCCCGUUUGUCAUCUGUCCCUCCCAUUUCUCACCACCACACCCGCUCCCCUGCUCUAGGCAACAAUUAAUCUGCUUUCUGUUACUAUUGAUUAAUUUUCCUUUUCUAGAAUUGAUCUAGUAGAAUCAUACAGUACUUGCUCUUACUUGUCUGGCUUCUUCCAUCAGUUCCGUUAUAUCGUAUACAUCAUUAUUGCACUCCUUUUUAUUGCGGAAGAACACCCAUUGUGUGGACAGACCACGGUUCGUUUAUCAUUCACCUGCUGAUGGGCAUUUGGAUUGUUUCCAGUUUAUGACUGUUACGAAUAAUGCUGUCAUGAAUAUUCAUGCACAAAUAUUUGGGCAUAUGCUUUCUGCUCUCUUGGGUAAAUCCUUUGGAGUGAACUGACCAGAUCACGUGGUGGUAUAUGUCAAACUUUUUAAGAAAAUGCCAGGCUGUUUUCCUAGGCGUCCGUGCUCUUUGGCAUGCCCACCUGCAGUGCGGGAGUCCCCUGGCUCCCCUUCCUCUCCUGCACUUGGUAUUGUCGGUUAUGUUUCCAUCUCAGUGGGGAUGAAGUGGUAUCUCCCUGUGGUUUUAUGCGCAUUUCUCUAGUAACUAACAACCUUGAGCAUCUUUUCAUGUGCUCACUGGCUAUCCCUCUCUCUUCUUUAGUGUAGUGUCGACUCCUAGAAGAUCUUUCUUAAUUGGGUUCUGUGUUUGGUUAUUACUGAGUUUCGAGAGUUCUUCGUAUGUUCUGGAUUCAGACCUUUUCUCACAGGCUGUGGCUUGUCCUGGGUGCAACCUUUAAACACAUCGAUCCCCCAUCCCCCCAACAAUCGAUGAUUAGUAAGAAUUUGGCCAAGAAUGCCAGUGCUGAUAGAGUGUGUCAGGGUCCAAUUCAUCAUCUCCAAAAAAACAAGGAAUUGCCAAAAAUUAACAAGGAAAGCAGCAUGUGAGGCCUCAUCAAAUCCAUUUUCCUCCCCCAAAUUACCCUGACUCUGCGGGGAUGUCACCCUGAAAGUCAUGGUCAGGGUCGGGGACAGGCGUGGCAGGUGGGAGGGGGCAUUAGGUCCCUCAUCCAGCAUCAUUUUGCUGAUCCAAGGUCACCCCCUGAUGGGCCAGGCUCCCCCAACUGCUGAGCUCGGCCCCCUUGGGGCUCCGCGAGGCACUAGAAGAAAGAUAAAUGGAAGCAUCAGCUUUGGCUCCCGAGUUUCUGAUGAAAACAAGUGUUAUCAUUCACUGGGCCAAUCUCUCAGGGGAGAUGCAUGGAAAUAGAACUGCAACUGGGGAGAGUCAAUUUCCGCUCCUCCAGACGAGGCCGCAGGGGGAGGGAAGCCAGAGGGGGCUGGGAGACCGGAAGCCCGUGCACACACGGGGCAUACCUCCCACGUCCCCUGCUACUGAGGACACCCUUUUCUUGAAUGUGCGGGUAACACCACCCCAGCCAGAACCCCUGAGUGGGGGGACAUCCAGCCUUGUCCCCAGGGCCCCAUCCAAGGAUUCCUGGCCGUGGUAAAGUCCCCCUGGCAUCACUUGCUCUGAGGUCCAGAUCACGCCCUGGAUCCUCCAAACCCUCUUCUCCCCGUCUGGGCUCCUGCAGCCACGGGCCUUUCUCUCCCUGUGUUGCUCCAGCCUGGACACAGUUUCUCCAUGUCUCUCAGGACACAAACAGGAGGCCGUGACCUGCUGCUGACAUUCUGGAAGAUUCAGCUACUAUGUGUCGGUUCUGGGCUAACACCAGGGAUGCUGUGGAGAACAAGCCGGAAACAGUUUCCAUCUUCAGGAAACUUAUCGUCUAGGACCGAG
rnacentral:lncRNA from 1 species